GAUGAACGCUAGCGGCAGGCCUAAUACAUGCAAGUCGAACGGUAAGGCCCUUUCGGGGUACGACGAGUGGCGGACGGGUGCGUAACGCGUAUGCAACAUGCCUUCCAGCGGGGGAUAUACCAGGGAAACUUGGCGCAAUACCCCAUAGAAUUACGGGACCGCAUGGUCUUGUGAUUAAAACUCCGGUGCUGGGAGAUUGGCAUGCGUGACAUUAGCUAGUUGGCGGGGUAACGGCCCACCAAGGCGACGAUGUCUAGCUGGUCUGAGAGGAUGAUCAGCCACACUGGGACUGAGACACGGCCCAGACUCCUACGGGAGGCAGCAGUAGGGAAUAUUGGACAAUGGGGGGGACCCGUGAUCCA
rnacentral:rRNA from 1 species